rnacentral:sRNA from 2 species
UCCGGAUGGACGCCUAAUCCUGCCGCUGUCCGGUCACCGCACUCACUCGCCAGGCAGGAGCGGGGAACCCAAUAUCACCGCCGAUCCGAAACGGAACGGCUCGGGGUGAAGUCGUGCGCGCCACGGCCGGGCAUCUCCAGCCCGAACCCGACAGCUCACCUCGCAGGCGACGGAGAGGAAUC